rnacentral:tRNA from 1 species
GGAGAGGUACCCAAGUGGUUGAAGGGGACGGUUUGCUAAAUCGUUAGGGGCGCAAGCCCGCGAGGGUUCGAAUCCCUCCCUCUCCGCCA